rnacentral:lncRNA from 1 species
UCCCCGGCAGGAGCGGGUGCGCGCCAAGGGGGUGGGUCGCCCAGGCCCGGCUGGCCUGGCGCGCGGUCCGAGCCACUCAGAGCGCCCGGCGGCCGACACCCGGGGGCCCUACAAUUAAUACCCGGCGCCCGCCCGCCGCUCCGGGACUCGCGCGCCCGCUCUCGGGGAAGGAGGCGCUCGCUGGGCCCUGACCCUCUUCGCAACUCGUCUGCUCUUGCAGCUGUGGCGACGGAGCUCCGGACAGACCCUCUUGAGCCCCUCGCCGAGAGCCAGCUCGCGCAAGGACCAGUGUUCCACGCCCCCGCCACCCUCGUCACCGCGGGGAACUCUGCGCCGGCGGCAGGCAGGUGGGCGAGCGCGCCGGCUAGGAAGACUUCGAGUAGAUGAGCUGGAAGACUGGGAGAGCUGAGACAGGAAGAUUUUGAGGUCAUUCUCCAUCUGAAGCUAUGAUUUAAACAUCAGCAUUACGGUCAGUAUUUAGAGAGAAAUAGAACCAUUCUGAGGUUAUAUACACAUCAUUGGUUUUGCCUGAAAUUCUGAGAAUAUGAUAAAGGACGUUGUGAGGGGUGAGUUUGUUUCAAUCACAUUCAACAAAGCAGAGCUCUGAGAAAAGUAAAGGUAUCUCAGUGAUAAGUUGUGGGACCACAAACAUCCAGGGGGAGAACCAUUCUGACACAGUAGCCGUGUGUUCCAGUGUGUAAAAGAAAAGCCAAGUUUAAUAUAUUGGAGUUUCCUUUUUGAACUGGGCUGUGGACAUGACAAAGCUUUUAUGGACUCUGAGUUAGACUUUUAGUGUGUGUGUAUUUUUUUUUUUUAAGUCUUUAUUUUUUUAAGUCUUUAUUGAAUUAGUUGCAAUAUUGCUUCCGUUUAAUGGUUUGUUUCUUUGGCCUUGAGGCAUGUGGAUCUUAGCUGCCCAACCAGGGUUUGAACCUGCACCCCCUGCGUUGGAAGGCAAAGUCCCAACCACUGGACCACCAGCAAAGUCCCUGAGUUAAGACUCUUUAGAGGAAGGUGGGGCCAGGCAUUGCAAGGGCAACAGAAGCAUCUUUCUGGGGACUGUGCUGUCUGUCCUGUUGCUCUGGGGCAGGAUUUCUCAAAAUGUGUUCCAUAGAACACACUUCUCUAAGCUAUUAACGCACUGAGGACAGGGCCGUGAAGAUGGGUCUGUGCUACAGUGAGUUUGAAAAACAUUCAAUAACCUUCCUUCCUAAAGAGUCUCAGAAAUGGUUGAGUCUUGUGACUCUCCAUGGGCGUGUGGUUGGCAAGGCUCACCGGAGUCCCGUGGAGCUCUUACACGGCAUCCUAAGUCCAAUGUUUAUGUGUUCAUUAAGUAUGUAUUAACACCUGCCACGUCCAUGUUAGAUGCUAAAAAUACAGCAGUAAAUGA